rnacentral:rRNA from 1 species
AACGAACGCUGGCGGCAGGCUUAACACAUGCAAGUCGAACGAACGUAGCAAUACGUUAGUGGCAGACGGGUGAGUAACGCGUGGGAAUAUGCCCUAUGGUUUGGAAUAACUCAGGGAAACUUGAGCUAAUACCGGAUAAGCCCGAGAGGGGAAAGAUUUAUGGCCAUUGGAGUAGCCCGCGUCUGAUUAGCUAGUUGGUGAGGUAAUGGCUCACCAAGGCGACGAUCAGUAGCUGGUCUGAGAGGAUGAUCAGCCACACUGGGACUGAGACACGGCCCAGACUCCUACGGGAGGCAGCAGUGGGGAAUAUUGGACAAUGGGGGCAACCCUGAUCCAGCCAUGCCGCGUGAGUGAUGAAGGCCUUAGGGUUGUAAAACUCUUUUAUCCGGGAAGAUAAUGACUGUACCGGAAGAAUAAGCCCCGGCUAACUUCGUACCAGCCGCCGCCGUAAAAC